rnacentral:rRNA from 1 species
GUAGUGGCAAGCGUUGUCCGGGAAUUAUUGGGGCGUAAAGCGCGCGCAGGCGGUUCUUUAAGUCUGAUGUGAAAGCCCACGGGCUCAACCGUGGAGGGUCAUUGGAAACUGGAGAACUUGAGUACAGAAGAGGAAAGCGGAAUUCCACGUGUAGCGGUGAAAUGCGUAGAGAUGUGGAGGAACACCAGUGGCGAAGGCGGCUUUCUGGUCUGUAACUGACGCUGAGGCGCGAAAGCGUGGGGAGCAAACAGGAUUAGAUACCCUGGUAGUCCACGCCGUAAACGAUGAGUGCUAAGUGUUAGGGGGUUUCCGCCCCUUAGUGCUGCAGCUAACGCAUUAAGCACUCCGCCUGGGGAGUACGGCCGCAAAGGCUG